rnacentral:rRNA from 1 species
CCUACGGGUGGCAGCAGUAAGGGAUAUUGGUCAAUGGGGGAAACCCUGAACCAGCAACGCCGCGUGAGGGAAGACGGUUUUCGGAUUGUAAACCUCUGUCCUCUGUGAAGAUGAUGACGGUAGCAGAGGAGGAAGCUCCGGCUAACUACGUGCCAGCAGCCGCGGUAAUACGUAGGGAGCGAGCGUGGUCCGGAUUUACUGGGUGUAAAGGGUGAGUAGGCGGUUUGGCAAGUCAGUAGGGAAAUGCAGGGGCUGAAACCAUGAACUGCUAGUGAAACGGUCAAGCUUGAGUGAAGUAGAGGUAGGCGGAAGCAGCGGUGGAGCGGGGAAAUGCAUAGAGAGCGCGAAGAAC